CGCUAGGAUCUCUCUCGCCUUAACGGAUAACUGCGGUAUCUGGACUCUACGGAUUAAACGACGACCUUACGAAGUCGUGCAUUUGUUAGACCAAACCAAUCGGUCUUCGGACCGCCAUUUGGUGAACUCUGAAUAACUUUGCUGAUCGCACAGUCUCGUACUGGSGACAAAUCUUUCAAGUGUCUGCCUUAUCAACUUUCGAUGGUAGUUUAUACGCCUACCAUGGUUGUAACGGGUAACGARAAUAAGGGUUCGACUCCGGAAGGGAGCCUGAGAAACGGUACCACAUCCAGGAAGGCAGCGGCGCGCAAAUUACCCACUCGCAAACGCGGAGGUAGUGACGAAAAAUAACGAGGUGGCUCUCUACAGGUCCGCCAUCGGAAUGGGUACAAUUURAAUCUUUCGAGGAUCUAUUGGAGGGCAAGUCUGGUGCCAGCAGCCGCGGUAAUUCCRGCUCCAAUAGCGUAUAUUAAAGUUGUUGCGGUUAAAAAGCUCGUAGUUGGAUCUGCGUUCGGUGAAAGCGGKCGCCCGACGGGUUGUACUGCUUCUCCCGAACUAAUCAUUCGGUUUUCCCUUGAUGCUCUUCAUUGAGUGUCCUGGGUGACCGGAACUUUUACUUUGAAAAAAUUAGAGUGCUCAAAGCAGGCGAUUCGCCCGAAUAUUCGUGCAUGGAAUAAUGAAAAAGGUCCUUGUAGCCUUUUAUUGGUUAUUGCUAUGAGGAAAUGAUCGAAGGGGACAGACGGGGGCAUUUGUAUUGCGACGUUAKAGGUGAAAUUCUUGGAUCGUCGCAAGACAAACUACUGCGAAAGCAUUUGCCAAGAAUGUUUUCAUCAAUCAAGAACGAAAGUCUGAGGUUCSACGGCGAUCAGACCCCCAGAGAAGUAUGACCGAGUUACCAAUCGACGAAACACACCGCGUAUUUUGAUCGUGGAAGAUGAACCGAAGCUGGGGCAGUUGCUCAUUGAUUAUCUGCGUGCUGCGAGCUAUGCGCCGACGCUUAUCAGCCACGGCGAUCAGAAUACCCCCAGRAAAUGUGGUGUUUGGCAUAAACUCUGUAUUCUGAACUGCAUGGUCAAAAUUCSAAACGGAUGRUCACAGARUAUAUUUCCCUUGUGUUAUYAAAGUUACUCAGCGUCAUUAGGCUGUAAAGUCCUGGUAUGACAAAAGYAAAMAUGGAGAUUGCGAUC
rnacentral:rRNA from 1 species